rnacentral:lncRNA from 1 species
CCAGAAUUCCAGAAGUUGGGAGUCAUUGUUGGGGGUGGUCAAAGAAUUCUUUUCCCCACAAGUCAUGUGGCUUCCAGCCAGCAUACUUCAUAGGUCAUUUCCUAUUUCCUUCCCCCUUCUUAUAAUGUCUCAGUUUAAGCAGGGGAAUGUGGAGUCUAAGGUGUUUCUGCUUCCCUUCUUAACAUCCAGAUAGUUACUGCUGAGAUACAUGAUGGCUUGUAAGGGUUGAGUGUGCUGUUCUGGUUCUUACCCUUUGAAAGUUUUAAAGUCUCCUCUUCAUCUUGUAUUGAAUAUUUGACCAGAGGUCAGAGUCCAGAACGUCAGACUCACAUGGUCGACAGGUGGCUUGUAAAUAGCUACAUGAAGGGCAUUGAAUCUAAACAAGUCUAGAGUGAGAGACUAAGGUUAAAGAACUGAAAGCAAAUUUGAUUCAUUUAAAACGAAUAAAAACGUAGAGUAUUCAGGGGGACAGAGAAUGGAAAGAAUUUGCAGUGGUCAACUGAUUCUCUGGUAAAGGACAGGUUGGUCACCUCUGGUGCUGUGACUCUGUUCUGCUGUACUUAUACUGUGCACACUCAUGGUGUGUAUUCACCUACCUCUGUAACUUACAGAAGAGAAGUGGUGAGUCAUGCAUCCGUCCACGGUGUUUGGUCAGGGUGACUCUGGGAAGUACUAGGAUCCUCAGUGCUCUCAGCCCCGAAGGCCAAGGGAUGCCCUUGGUUGGAUUAGAUAAAGAACAUUCAAGGACACAGAGAUAUGGAAACAAUCAUUUUCUUCCCUAGAAGAGGGUGAUGCGAUAGAUUACGACGAGCAUUUGGCCCGGUGUCCCGGGGCCAGCUGAUUGAAGAGCUCAAAGGGCAAGAAACCAGUAAUGGAGAUGCCUGAAGCUCAAGAAAUGAGCAGUAAACACUCAGCACAUCAGAAUCAUGGGUGAUCUGAAAAUAACGUGACAAGAGAUGGUCCCUGCUCCGAAGGACUGCAGUUUUGCUGGAUAAAUAUGCUAUCUCUCACUCUUGGCAGUUCUUUCUGUGCUAGUAUUUGGGAAAAAAUAACUCUUGCUGCAUGAAACUAUAAAAGACAUUCUGUUAAGAGGAUGGAAAAAAAAAUGCUUCUGUUUUAGACAAAGCUUGUGAAGGUUUGAGGAUCAUCUAUCUGUUGGCCAAACUUAGUUUCCGUGGCUUAAAAAUAAAAUAAGAAAAAUAAAUACAGGUUUACUUGCCUUCUCAUCCUACUUAAAGGCACAUUUCCAAAGCUUUUCUUCUCCACCUGAAAACAGGAAUGGAGACCUAUUCAAAAGAGAUCCUAGAUAAGACCAGAGAUUCAGCAACCUG